rnacentral:pre_miRNA from 1 species
UCUUUGGUAUCCUAGCUGUAGGCGUGUCCUCGUACCCUAAAGUUAUGGUACCGAAGUUA